rnacentral:rRNA from 1 species
CUUUGGAUUAAAAUUUNAAUUUAACUUUUAAGUGAAAAGGNUUAAAUAUUCUAAAGGGACGAUAAGACCCUAUAAAACUUUACAUUAAUAUUAAAUUUUAUUUAAUUUAAAUUAUAACAAUUAAAUUUAAUAGGUUUGUUAUGUUGGGGAGACANAAGCNAUAAUUAUAGAUUAACUGCUUANANAUAAAACAAUANUANAUGAAGCACGAUUUAUAGAUCCUUAAUAAAGAUUCAAAGAUAAAAUUACUUUUUGGAUAACAGCGUUAUUUUUUUUGAGAGUUUAUAUCGAAAAAAAAGAUUGCGACCACGAUGUUGAAUAAAAAUAUCUUUAUAAUGCAGGUGUUAUAAAAAAAGGUCUGUUCGACCUUUAAUUUUUUAUAUGAUUUGAGUUCAUACCAGUGAGAGCCACG